GAACGAGUUAUCUGAACCUUCGGGGAACGAUAGCGGCGUCGAGCGGCGGACGGGUGAGUAAUGCCUAGGAAAUUGCCCUGAUGUGGGGGAUAACCAUUGGAAACGAUGGCUAAUACCGCAUAAUGCCUACGGGCCAAAGAGGGGGACCUUCGGGCCUCUCGCGUCAGGAUAUGCCUAGGUGGGAUUAGCUAGUUGGUGAGGUAAGGGCUCACCAAGGCGACGAUCCCUAGCUGGUCUGAGAGGAUGAUCAGCCACACUGGAACUGAGACACGGUCCAGACUCCUACGGGAGGCAGCAGUGGGGAAUAUUGCACAAUGGGCGCAAGCCUGAUGCAGCCAUGCCGCGUGUGUGAAGAAGGCCUUCGGGUUGUAAAGCACUUUCAGUCGUGAGGAAGGUAGUGUAGUUAAUAGCUGCAUUAUUUGACGUUAGCGACAGAAGAAGCACCGGCUAACUCCGUGCCAGCAGCCGCGGUAAUACGGAGGGUGCGAGCGUUAAUCGGAAUUACUGGGCGUAAAGCGCAUGCAGGUGGUUUGUUAAGUCAGAUGUGAAAGCCCGGGGCUCAACCUCGGAAUUGCAUUUGAAACUGGCAGACUAGAGUACUGUAGAGGGGGGUAGAAUUUCAGGUGUAGCGGUGAAAUGCGUAGAGAUCUGAAGGAAUACCGGUGGCGAAGGCGGCCCCCUGGACAGAUACUGACACUCAGAUGCGAAAGCGUGGGGAGCAAACAGGAUUAGAUACCCUGGUAGUCCACGCCGUAAACGAUGUCUACUUGGAGGUUGUGGCCUUGAGCCGUGGCUUUCGGAGCUAACGCGUUAAGUAGACCGCCUGGGGAGUACGGUCGCAAGAUUAAAACUCAAAUGAAUUGACGGGGGCCCGCACAAGCGGUGGAGCAUGUGGUUUAAUUCGAUGCAACGCGAAGAACCUUACCUACUCUUGACAUCCAGAGACUUUCCAGAAAAUGGAUUGGUGCCUUCGGGAACUCUG
rnacentral:rRNA from 1 species